UGGGGUAUAUUGCACAAUGGAGGGAACUCUGAUGCAGCGACGCCGCGUGAACGAAGAAGGCUUUCGUGUCGUAAAGUUCUUUUAUAUGGGAAGAUAAUGACGGUACCAUAAGAAAAAGCCCCGGCUAACUACGUGCCAGCAGCCGCGGUAAUACGUAGGGGGCUAGCGUUGUCCGGAAUCACUGGGCGUAAAGGGUUCGCAGGCGGAAAUGCAAGUCAGGUGUAAAAGGCAGUAGCUUAACUACUGUAAGCAUUUGAAACUGCAUAUCUUGAGAAGAGUAGAGGUAAGUGGAAUUUUUAGUGUAGCGGUGAAAUGCGUAGAUAUUAAAAGGAAUACCGGUGGCGAAGGCGGCUUACUGGGCUCAUUCUGACGCUGAGGAACGAAAGCGUGGGUAGCAAACAGG
rnacentral:rRNA from 1 species